rnacentral:sRNA from 1 species
UGCAUUACAAUAAUGGUGCUCACUGCUU